GAAUGGAGUUCAGUGGUAGAACACAAGCUUAGCAUGCUCGAGGCCCUGGGUUUAAACCCCAGCAACA
rnacentral:tRNA from 1 species